rnacentral:lncRNA from 1 species
CCACAUAACAUCUGUUGUGGUGUUCAACUCGCUCCCAAAUACUCAUCAAGCCAGUAUCUCACAUAACAUCCAUUGCGGCAUGCAGCCCGCUCCCAAAUACGUAUCAAGCCAAAAUGCUCGGGCUCACUGAUCAUAUGAAUACUGAGAUUAAGCAUAACAGUGUGCACAAAUAAAACUGUGGGAACAAUGAAUAAAAGCAAUAAAAUAUGAGAGAAGCAAGCACAUAUAAGGUGCAAUGAGCAAAUCAACAUCACGAGGGCUAUCUCACCCGCAUCGCCACAAGGCCUGAACAGAAUUACAACAUGCUUGGGGAAUAAUCGUAGAACCUCAUAGCUCACCACAACAAAAUAGAGCAGCACAUAACAUAGGCUAGAGGCACAAAUAAUGUCCAUUCUGCCUGAGAACAUAACCAAAAUGACAAUCUCAUAGGAGCACACAAACCAGACCUGAUACAAAACAUAUAUUCCCGUUGAUCUUCAGAAUAGUCCCAAGCAAAUCCUAAUUCUUCCCAAUUAGAUAAAUAUAUUUCAAAAGAUCCACAACAACUUCUCAGUAUUGUAUGCUAUUAAUUAUCCCAUUCUCAAUAUUUCUUCAAAGUCUGCAAACAGGAAUUAGUCUACAUAUGAAGGCAUCUAGCACCAAGCCUCCGGAAUACUAAAAUUUCCAUACCCAACUCAACUACGCAAUCAAAUGACUGAUAUAUCACUCACACCCUAUUAUUUCGUUGAAGCACCCAUAUAGAGUUUAUUGCCACGUAACAAAACAUGAACCUCGAAAGCCUCAAAACCCAAUAAUCACCAUGCUACCAGCCAUGUACCUGCAAACCAAAACUCAAGGUCCUUUCCAAAAUGCACACCCUUCACAUAUGAUAGCCAACAAGGUCAACACCCUAUUAAUCUCUGAUACCUAUUCAGGAGAAAGUCACAAUGUACCACAUAUUCCUUAUGCCCAUAGCAGCCAGGCAACUCAAGUCGUUGCCCAAACCAUCAAGAACCCUCCAAGAUCCACCUGCACGCAACCAAGCCAUCAGUACUUCACCUCCCAAACUCAACCGAGACACACAAAUCGCCCAAUCCAAGAGUGUUGGAACAAAUGCCAGUAGAGGAUUCCUAUUCAAAGGACCAAUCACUCCAUCGCUAUGUUGACCCAACACCACAAAGCUGACCCAUUUCUUCGGAUAGUCGUUAUGCAAUAAUCCCAAUCAAAGUCCCAACAUCGUCCCAUGCAAGAUCUCAGACCUUAGUCAUAUACAAAUUCCGGGAACCUACCAAUACCACACAUACAAAUACCUCAGGCCAAAACUAGCGUAAGUCUGACUAUGCAAUCUGAAUGCCACUGAUGGACUCCUCCAUUUGGCACGAAGCCAUAGAAAACAAUAUCUGAUGAUCUGCAGAGCUAACCUUCACAGCUCAUAGAACACAAAUCACAAGGUACUCCAAUAAUGCCAACUAUCCUCAAUCAACACUCACCACGCUUUCGAUGCGCCUCCAUAUAAACUACUGAAUAGUCUCUCAAUACCUCUGUAUAUCCAGUCUGGAUGACACGUUGAGAAAAUAUGUGAGCAUCCCUAACUCCCGCGUAGCCUAUCUAUAGUAUCACAAACCACUGGCACAUAGCGGACACAAAAAGCAUAAUAUUACACACAAGUGGAUGUACAGAAACAUAAGUUAUAUGCUUCGAGCUCAAUCAAUAUUGCACGUUAAGGAAUGAAGGAUGUGAGAUUAUCCUAAUAGUUCUGUAGCCUCUCGAAGAUAAGUACAGACAUCUCCGUACCAAUCCGCAAGACUCUACUAAACCUGCUUAUGACUCGUAGCACCUAUGGACCUAGAGCUCUGAUACCAACUUGUCAUGACCCAAAAAUCCCUCCGAAGGAGUCGUGAUGGCACCUAGUCUCUAAACUAGGUAAGCCUAACAUUAACUGAAAUAACAUUGAUAUUUACUAACUUUAAAUUAAAUUACUCUGAACAAUUACAAUUCCCAAAAUCGGUGGUACAAGUCAUAAACCUUUUUAAGAGUAGUUAAAAAAAUAAAUACAGCAAUGUUCAAGACCAAGAAGGAAUCAAUGGAACGUAAAUACAAACGAAGGUGACUCUAAGGCCUACGAACGCAACAACAGGUUAUCGUGAGUCACCACCGCGAUGACCCGCACAGCUACUAUCGAUCAAUACCUGGAUCUAUAUACAAAAAUGUACAGAAGUGUAGUAUGAGCACACCACGGCGGUGCCCAGUAAGUAUCAAGACUAACCUCGGUGGGGUAGUGAUGAGGAACAGUCAAGACACCUACUGGUCAAAUGAAAUGAACAGGAUAUGAUAAUAAAAUAUCGAGAUAAAGAUAACGAGGUAAUAUCAACAGCGGAGAGAAAUCAAAAUUUCAAACAGUAGGAAUAAUAAAGGGAGAACACUGGUAGUAACGAACGAUACGAAAUAAAUCAAAUAACCAAGUAAAUCAACAUUGACAUAACAGGAACAGAGACAAGUAAGAAUGUAUUCAAAUAAAGAAGGCAAUGCCAACUCAAUCACUCACAUCAUGUCUAAUACACAAUUCUGACCAUCUCAAUCCUCAGUUUCUCAUAUCAUAAUCUCAACUUCCGAACCUUCAACAUACAUGGCACCUUGUGCUCUCAUAUUUUCCAUCUCACUUUUAACAAAAGAAAUCCACAUGCUAUACAAUACAUAAUGUUUGUACAAAUGCACUCAAGAUGUUCAAGAAGUAUGAUUUACCUAAUAUAAGUAAAUUACAAUUUCUAAACUAAUUAGGAAAGCCAGCGAGAAAAGAUGAAGUUAUAUUUAGAAAUCAUUUGAAUAAAGAAAGUACCAUUUUCAAUUAGAAUACAACAUCGAAUGAAUUAUUACCUUUACCAUGGGAUUUAAUAAAUUACAACUUAGUAGAAAUUCCUUUUAAGUUGAAUAUAACCUUAGACUAUUUAAGGAAAAUUUAGUUGAGAAACUAAUUGAGUCAAAAAUGUAGAAAUUAUUGAAGUUUGAAGUAUUGAAAUAUAUAUAUAUAUAUAUAUAUAUAUAUAUAUACGGUGAGGUAUUGACAACACUAUGGGUUCCAACACAAAGAAUCACAUCAGUAAGGGAAUCUAAACUGUUAAAAUACUUGAAUUGACAACAACAAAUAAACACAGUAAACAGAAAGUGCAAGACAUCACCCUUCGUGCUUUUACACUCACAGAAUAUCGACAAAGGAUCUCUUGGUAUCCUCAAUGUAUGUGUUGGGGAUCUCUUGGUAUCCCGAGGAUCUCUUGGUAUCCUCAAUGUAUGUACUGGGGAUCUCUUGGUAUCCUCAAUAUAUGUGCUGGGGAUCUCUUGGUAUCCCGAGGAUCUCUUGGUAUCCUCAAUAUAUGUGAUGGGGAUCUAUUGGUAUCCCGACCCAAACAAUAGAAACAAUACAUCCGGACAAGGGAAUAAACAAUAUGAACAAUAACAUCCCGGCAAGGGAAUCAACAAUAUGAACAUUAACAUCCCGAUAAGGGAAUCAACAGUAUGAACAAUAACAUCCCGGCAAGGAAAUCAACAAUAUGAACAAUAACAUCACGGCAAGGAAAUUAACAACAAUCCAACAAUCCAAUCACAAGGAAGUUCCACCACCAGGAGUAUGAUUACAUAGCAAUAAAAGAAUCACGGAGAAACUAAGAAGCACAAUAACCUUAAUAAAACAACAAAAAACAUAAUAAGCACAUGAUAACUACACCGACAAUCACAACAUUUUGGACAUGUAGCAUAUAUACACGGGGUCAUAGAGAAAUUUCUAUAUUGAGAUAUGACAAAGCAACAAAGAGAACAACUAAUUCAAUUAAGGCAAAUAAGGCCAAGUAAUAGGUAAGAGUUAGAGGAAGGCUAACAACAUCGUAUGGAGUAUAUAGAGAUAAAUUAUGCAAUUAGAUAACCCAAUUAUAACAGAAUACUUCCCAUAUGAUGAACAUAAGGACCUAAGAACCCUAAAGAAAAUUUUCCCACAAAUAAGUCUGAGCACACACUCGUCACCUCGUGUGCACAGACUAUAAUUAGCAUGGAAGACUCAAAUCCUAAGGGAAAGUCCCCCACACAAGGUUAGGCAAGAUACUUACCUCAAAGACAACAAACCGAUACUCUAAAAUGCACUUCUCGGGUGAAAAGACCUUCGGACGGCUCAAAUCUAACCAAAUUAACUUCAAAACACAAAUAAAACACGUAAGAAACUAUUUUGUAUCAUAGAGUCUCAAUUUUAACAAAAUUCGAAAAUUGGUUCAAAAGUAGACCCCCUGGCCCUCCCCUCGAAACUCGACAAAUUUUACAAAAACCUAAUACCCAUUCAUAUACGAGUUCAACCAUAUAAAAUUUAUCAAAUUCAGAUACCAUUUGGUCCUCAAAUCAUGAUUUUUCAUUUUAGAAUUUUUCUUCAAGAACCAACAUUUUUCUUAACCCAAAUCAUAAAUUAAAUGAUAAAAAUGAAGACAAAAUCAUGGAAUAUAAUCAAUUCUAGGUGAAGAACACUUACCCAAUUGAUUUGUGUGAAAAGCCCUCAAAGAAUCGCUCAAAACCGAGCUCCACAAGUCAAGAUAUGAUGAAAAUAGUAUAACCCUCGAUUUUGGGCUAUAUUCUGUCUGCCAAGUAUUUGUACAUCACAAUUGCGGAAGAAAUGAUGCAAUCGCGUAGAAGGAAAAUAGUAAUUGUCCAAAAAUGUGCUACGCGAUCGCAGAAGGGCUUAUGCGAUCGCGUAGUGAAGAAAUUUUCUGCUGCCCAAAGCUACUCUUCACGAUCACAAAGAGAAAGAUACGAUCACGUUAAAGGAAUAAUUUGUUGCCCAAAAGAAAGAACUAUGUGAAUGCAGACAUAGAAUAUGCGAACGCGAAGAAGGAACACAUAGACUUCUGCGAUCGCGAACGUGGUCAUGCGAACGCGAUGAACAAUUAAUACCUCCUCCAAAAUUACUCUUCACAAUCGCGGAGGAGCAGACAAACGCAAAGAAGAAAACCAGUUGAUAGAUAACAACAGUUCAAAAUAGGAGAAAACGGCUUGUAGCCCACCCGGAACACACUCGAGGCCCCGAGACCCCGUCUAAACACACAAACAAGUCAUAUAACCUAACAGGCACUUGCUCAAGAUCACAAAUCACAUCAAACAAUGCCGAAAUUACGGAUCACACCAUGAAUCGAACUUAGGAACUUUCAAACCUUUCAACUUCCAAUACUCGUGUCAAAACCUAUCAAAUCAACCCGGAAUGACGCCAAAUUUUGCAAACAAGUCCAAAAUGACAUAACAAAGUUGUUCCAAUUCAUGGAAUUACAUUUCGACCCCGAUAUCACAAAAGUCAACUAUGAGUCAAAUAUCUCGAUUUUCCAAACAUAAAAUUUUCCAACUUUCGCCGAAAUACCUCAAAUUACCCUACGGACCUCCAAAUCUGAAUCCGGACGCGCGCCUAAGUCCAAAAUCACCAUACGAAGAUUUUGAGAUCACCCAUGACCCAUUCCGGGGCUGUUUACUCAAAAGUCCAAUUCCGGUCAAAUUUUCACUGUUUAGACUUCCAAAACUAGGUUCCUUCUUCCAAUUCAACUCCGAUUUAUCUGGAAACUGAAUCCAACCAUGCAUACAAGUUGAUAUACAUAAUGUGAAGCUUCUCGCAACGUCAAACUUUCGGACCGAGCGCAAUUGCUCAAAACGACCAGUCGGGUCGUUACAUGUAAUUUUUAUGUAGUAGAAAAUUAACUUAUCAAGCCCAAUUAUCUCACUUACUAUUUAACAAUUGUCUUGACAUUAUGACUUAAAUUAAACUAACUUGUGAAUAAAGAUUAGGAGAAUUUUACAAAAAUAUCACUAGCAUUUAAACCAUGGAAUAUAAUACUUUAACACAGACAAAGCCAAGACAAUCGAUCAUAAAGAAAUAAGGCCUGAGAGUUAAAAUUUGAUAAUUGAGAAAUGUGUUAUAUCCCCUAAAAGUAUACUUGCUGGAACUCAAAGAAAACAUAAAAUAAUGGACACAUAGGAUAAACUAUGAAUAUGACGACGCGGCCAGUCGUCUCAUGAGUUACCGCUUUGUUUUCCCCAUUUCUGCUUCCUAUUGCUUUGUCUAUUAGUUCUAUAUAUGAUCGGCUUGGUCAGCUCGCGUUCGAAAAGGAUUUGGUAAGGUUUGAGAUACUUAGUCUCUUCUGAGGAACCUUAAGUUGGAAAAGUCAACCAGAUGUUGAAUUAUGUGUUAGAGGGCUCGGAUUUGAGUUCUGAUGGUUCGGAUAGAUUCGGGAGGUGAUUUGGGACUAAGAAGCAUGAUCGGAAUGAGUUUUGGAGGUUCGGAGUAGAUUUAGGCUUGAAUUGGCGAAGUUGGUAUUUUGUCGAUUUCCGGAUGAUAGGUGAGAUUUUGAUAUAGGGGUCGGAAUGGAAUUUCGAGAGUUACAAUAGUUCCAUUGGGUCAUUUGGGAUGUGUAUACGAAAUUUUAGGUCAUUCGAACGAGGUUUGGUUGGGUUUUUGAUCAAAAGUAGAAUUCGGAAGAUUUGACUGAAAACUCUUUGCUAUCAUCAUGUUUUGGGCUGAAUGCCAUAUUUAGGCCUCGUGCCAACUAUUUGAACCCUUAGGGGAUUUUUACCAAUAUUUCCUCACUGUUUUGACUUUAUACUUGAACUCAGUCAUGCUAUAUUCUACUGUUUUCAUAACUCAGUCAUGUUGACUCUACUUUAGCACAUAAAUGAUAUUUUUAAAUGAUAUUUUGGGUUGCGCACCAUGUUUUACUGAUGCCCGAGUGGCUUUUGAGAUUCUGACUGAGUAAGGCCGAGGGUUUAUGUUUUGAGGAAACACCUGAUUAUGAUUAUGAGGCCAAGGGCUUGAGAUUUGUACGCCACGAGGUGGCUUGUUGAUAUGAGGCCGAGAGCCUAGUGAUGAUGCCAUGAGAUGGCUUUAUAUUGCGCUUGGGCUGUAAGGGGCCCUCUAGGAGUCUAUACACCCCCAGUGAGCGCGGGUGCCCAUUGUGAUGUGAGAUAUAGCCCGAGCAGCUACUAUUGUUUCUGCGAUAUUGCCCGAGGGGCAAAUUUGUGACACUGUUCCUGAGGGGUGAUCCUUAUGUGUUUAUAUUUCCUAUUUGUCUAUCACUUACUUGCUUAAUUGUUAAAAAGGCAUUUUAUGAAGUUUAAACUGAACCUAGUGAUUUUACACAUCUUUGCUGCUUCACUAUUUUUACUAGCUUUUACUUCUUCAUUAUAGCUUGUAAUGUGCCUUACGUGAUUUCACAUUUCUCAGUUUUUAUUUAUGAUUAUUACUCACUGAGUUAGAUUACUCACUUUACUCCCUGCACCCCAUGUGCAGAUUCAGGCACUAAUGAUCCUGCUUGCUAGGGUUGAGAGCUCCCGGUAGAUUUCAGAGUUCACGAGGUAGUUGUUCGGUGUCCGCAGCCCCGUGUUUCUCCCCCUUUAUCUCAUUUCUUUCCCUUUUAGUGAUUCUGUAAUAGUUUUGUAGACACUUCAGACUUGUAGUACAUUGAUAGAUGCUCAUGACUGGUGACACCCCGGUAUCGGGCUGUGUUGGGUUUUAUUUCUGCAAACCAUAAUGUUGACUGCUUACCAUUUUGGGAUUAUUAUUAUGAUGUUUAAGACUUAACGCUUAUUAAUUAAAAUUGAUUUGAGAAUGUGUCAACUGGCCUUGUCUUCACGAGAGGCACCAUCACGACCGGGUCCGAGUUUAGGGUCGUGACAAGUUGGUAUCAGAGCCUAGGUAACAUAGGUCUCACGAGUCAUGAGCAGGUUUAGUAGAGUCUCACGGAUCAGUACGGAGACGUCUAUAUUUAUCCUCGAAAGGCUGUAGAACCUUUAGGAAACCUUCAUAUUUUUCAAAUUAUUGUCGUGCGAGUUUGUGGAUCUGAGUNNNNNNNNNNNNNNNNNNNNNNNNNNNNNNNNNNNNNNNNNNNNNNNNNNNNNNNNNNNNNNNNNNNNNNNNNNNNNNNNNNNNNNNNNNNNNNNNNNNNNNNNNNNNNNNNNNNNNNNNNNNNNNNNNNNNNNNNNNNNNNNNNNNNNNNNNNNNNNNNNNNNNNNNNNNNNNNNNNNNNNNNNNNNNNNNNNNNNNNNNNNNNNNNNNNNNNNNNNNNNNNNNNNNNNNNNNNNNNNNNNNNNNNNCAACAGCUAGAGCAGUACCUGCAGAUCCACCAGUCGCCCCAGUUCAGGAUCAGGUCCCAGUUGUGGACGCUCCAGCAGCACCAGCUCAGGCACCAAUUGUGCCCAUUGUGAUUCCAAGUCUUCAGGAGGCCUUGGCUCAGAUUCUAUCAGUUUGCACUGACCUAGCUUAGGCGGUCUCAGUAAUAACGGCCGCAGCUACUUCUCAGGCCGGGGGGCACUCAGACUCCCGCCGCUCGCACACCUGAGCAGGUCGUGCAGGGACUUCAGACACCGGGGGCGCAUCCAGCCUAGCUAGUUGCAGCUGCACAGGACUAUGUUGUUCCUGCCAUGCUAUAGGACGAGCAGCGUAGGUUGGAGAGGUUUGGUAGAUUUUAGCCUCUGACCUUCAGUGGUGUAGAGUGUAAGGAUGCCUAGGGUUUCUUGGAUAAGUGUCAGAGGAUACUUCGUACAGCGGUCAUUCUAGAGACCAGCGGGGUCGCUUUCACUACUUAUCAGUUUUCUGGAGUUGCCUUCACUUGGUAUGAGGCUUUUGAGAGGCGUAGGCACGUUAGUGCAGUACCCCUUACUUGGCAGCAGUUCUUUGUUCUCUUCUUGGAGAAGUAUGUGUCGUAGUCUUGCAUAGAGGAGCUGUGCAAGCAGUUUGAGUUGUUGCAUCAGGGAGACACGACUGUCAUGCAGUAUGAGAUAAGGUUCUCGGAGUUAUCUUGUCAUGCUAUUUGGUUGGUUUCGACGGAUAGAGAGAGGAUUAGGAGGUUUAUUGAUGGCCUCACUUAUCAACUUCAUAUUCUCAUAACCAGAGAAAGGGUGACUGGUGCUACCUUUGAUGAGGUUGUAGACAUUUCUCGAGAGAUUAAGUCAGUUCAUUGCUAGGAGCGAGAGGAGAGGGAGGCCAAAAGGCCUCAAGGAUCUGGUAGUUAUAGUGGUGCUCCUUCGAGAGGUCAGUUUCAGCACGGCAGAGGUCGUCCAUUCAGGCAUGCUCAUCCAGCUCGCCCAGGUUAUCGUGGGGCAUCAUUAGGUCAUGGUUCUCACAGUUCUCACUAGGGCCAGUCAUCACUUAGUGCCCUUCCAGCUCAGAGUUCAUCCCGUGCUCCAUCAGUUUAGGGCUCUUCUAUGCUAGGUGCAUCUACUAGUCAAUCUGGUUCUAGGGGUUCCCUUUAGUCCCCCUAUCCACUACCUGUGAGUUGUUAUGACCCAUCUCUCCACACUCAUAACAACUAGGAGGCAGUAUCCUCGUCGCCUUGCGAGUUCAUCUCAGCAGAGGAGUCAGCCAUCGACUUCAGCGCCAGUUACUUCCCCACCACCCGCCCAGCCAGCUAGGGGUGGAGGUCAGUCAGCUAGGGGUCUCCCUAGAGGGGGAGAUCGAUCAGGUGGCGGUCAGGCCCAUUUAUAUGCACUUACAGCUAGACCCAAUGCUAUUGCUUCCGAUGUUGUUAUUACAAGUAUUGUUUCAGUCUGCCAUAGAGAUGCCUCUGUAUUAUUUGAUCCUUGUUCCACCUUUUCUUAUGUGUCAUCAUACUUUGCUCGUUAUUUGGGUAUCCCCUGUGAGUUUCUUGCUUCACUUGUUCAUGUAUCUACCCCGGUGGGUGAUACUGUUGUUGUAGACUGUGUACUAGUCGUGUGUGGUGACUAUUGGGGGUCUGGAUACCUGAGUGGAUCUUUUAUUAUUAUGUAUGGUGGAUUUUGAUGUCAUUUUGGGCAUGGAUUGGCUAUCUCCGUGUCGUGCUAUUCUGGAUUGUCAUGCCAAGAUGGUCACAUUGGCUAUACUGGGCGUGCCACGGAUUGAGUGGCGAGGUUUGACUAAUUAUGUUCCCAGUAGAAUAAUCUCAUUAAUGAAGGCCCAGUGUAUGGUUGGGAAGGGUUGUUGUUCAUAUCUAGACUUUGUGAGGGAUGUCGGUGCAGAGACUCCUAGUAUUGAUUCUAUUCCAAUUGUGAGGGAUUUUCCCAAUGUAUUUCCUACAGACCUGUCAGGCAUGCCACCGGACAAGGAUAUUGAUUUUGGUAUUGACCUGGUGCCGGGCACUCAACCCAUUUCUAUUCCACUAUAUCGUAUGGCACCAGCGGAGUUAAAGGAGUUAAAGGAGCAGCUUCAGGAACUCCUCGAUAAGGGGUUCAUUCGGCCUAGUGUAUCACCUUGGGGUGCGCCGGUUCUAUUUGUGAAGAAGAAGGAUGACACUAUGAGGAUGCACAUUGAUUAUAGGCAAUUGAACAAAGUAACAAUUAAUAACAAGUAUCGUUUGCCUCGCAUUGACGAUUUGUUUGACCAGCUUCAGGGAGCGAGAGUGUUCUCUAAGAUUGAUCUCCGUUCGGGUUAUCACCAGUUGAAGAUCAGGGACUCGGAUAUUCUUAAUACGGCUUUCAGGACUCGAUAUGGUCAUUAUAAGUUCUUGGUGAUGUCUUUUGGGCUAACCAAUGCCCCAGCAGCAUUUAUACAUUUGAUGAAUAGCGUGUUCCGGCCUUUUCUCGACUCGUUUGUCAUAGCCUUUAUUGAUGAUUUUCUGGUGUAGUCGCGUAGUCAGGAGGAGCACGCGGAGCAUUUGAGAGUUGUGUUGCAGAGAUUGAGGGAGGAAAAGCUUUAUGCAAAGUUCUCUAAGUGUGAGUUUUGGCUUAGUUCAGUGGCUUUCUUGGGGCACAUGGUGUCCAGCGAGGGUAUUUAGGUUGAUUCGAAGAAGAUAGAGGCGGUUCAAAGUUGGCCCAGACCGUCCUCAGCCAUAGAGAUUCCCAGCUUUCUUGGUUUGGCAGGUUAUUAUCGUUGGUUUGUUCAGGGAUUCUCAUCUAUCGCAUCGCCCUUGACCAAGUUGACUUAGAAGGGUGCUUCAUUUGUGUGGUCGGAUGAGUGUGAGGAGAGCUUUCAGAAGCUCAAGACAGCCUUGACCACAGCUUUAGUGUUAGUUUUGCCAUCAGCUUCAGGUUCAUAUACCGUGUAUUGUGAUGCUUCGAGAGUUGGUAUUGGGUGUGUAUUGAUGUAGGAGGGUAGAGUUAUUGAUUAUGCUUCUCGUCAGUUGAAGCCCCCUGAGAAGAACUACCCCGUUCAUGAGUUGGAGUUGGCUAUCAUAGUUCACGCGUUGAAGAUUUGGAGACAUUACUUGUAUGGUGUGUCUUGUGAGGUGUUUACUAAUCAUCAUAGCCUCCAGCACUUGUUUUAGUAGAAGGAUCUUAAUUUGAGGCAGCGGAGGUUGUUGGAGUUGCUAAAGGUUUAUGAUAUUACUAUAUUGUACCAUCCGGGGAAGGCCAAUGUGGUGGCCGAUGCUUUGAGCCGAAAGGCGGUGAGUAUGGGAAGUUUGGCAUAUAUUCCAGUUGGGAAGAGNNNNNNNNNNNNNNNNNNNNNNNNNUCUCUCGGGUCUUCCCUAUAUGAUCGCAUCAAAGAGCGCCAGUAUGUGAUCCGUAUUUGCUUGUCCUUAAGGACAGAGUUCAGCAUGAUGAUGCCAGAGAUGUGACCAUUGGUGAUGAUGGGGUGUUGAGGAUGCAGGGCCGGAUAUGUGUGACCAAUGUAGAUUCGAGAGUUGAUUCUGGAAGAGGCCCAUAUCUCGCAGUAUUCCAUUCAUCCGGGUGCCGCGAAGAUGUACCAGGAUUCGAGGCAGCAUUACUGGUGGAGGAGAAUGAAGAAAGACACUAUAGGAUUUGUAGCUCGGUGUCACAAUUAUCAUCAGGUGAAAUAUGAGCAUCAGAGACCGGGUGGCUUGCUUUAGCUGAUGGAUAUUCUAGAGUGGGAGUGGGAGAGGAUUACUAUGGACUUUGUAGUGGGAUUUCCACGGACUUUGAAGAAGUUCGAUACUAUUUGGGUGAUUGUUGUUCAGCUGACCAAGUCCGGGCACUUCAUUCCUGUGUGUACUACCUAUUCUUCAGAGCGGUUGGCAGAGAUCUAUAUUCAGGAAAUUGUUUGUUUGCAUGGUAUCCCAGUUUCCAUCAUUUCAAAUAGGGGCACUCAGUUUACUUUGCAGUUUUGGAGGUCUGUGCAGUGGGAGUUGGGUACUCAGGUUGAGUUGAGCACAGCUUUUCACUCUCACACGACGGGCAGUGGAGCGCACUAUUCAGAUAUUGGAGGACAUGUUGCAUGCUUGUGUCAUUAAUUUUGGAGGGUCAUGGGAUCAGUUUCUACCGCUUGUGGAGUUUUCUUAUAACAACAGUUAUCAAUCGAGUAUUCAUAUGGCUCCAUAUGAGUCUUUGUAUGAGAGGGGGUGUAGAUCUCCAGUUGGUUGGUUUGUAUCGGGUGAGGCGAGGCUAUUGGGGACAGACUUGGUGCAGGAUCCUUUAGAAAAGGUAAAGGUGAUUUAGAAGAGGCUUCGUACAGCGAAGUCAAGGCAAAAGAGUUAUGCUAACAGGAAGGUUCGAGAAGUGUCUUACAUGGUUGGUGAAAAGGUUCUGCUGUUCCAAUUCUCGGAAUUGCAUUCCGGCCCCGAUAUCAUAAAAGUAAACUAUGAGUCAAACCUCUCCAUUUUCCAAACUUCAACUUUUCCAACUUUCACUAAAAUACCUCAAAUUACCCUACAGACCUCCAAAUCUGAAUCCGGACGCGGAUCUAAGUCCAAAAUCACCAUACGAAGUUGUUGAGAUCACCCACGACCCAUUCCGGGGCCGUUUACUCAAAAGUCCAAUUCCGGUCAAAUUUUCACUCUUUAAACUUCCAAAACUAGGUUCCUUCUUCCAAUUUAACUCCGAUUUAUCCGGAAACUGAAUCCAACCAUGCACACAAGUCGAUAUACAUAAUGUGAAACUGCUCGCAACCUCAAACUACUGGACUGGGUGCAAUUGCUCAAAACGACCGAGAGUUAUAAUUUGAUGAUAGAGAAAUGGGUUAUAUCCCCUAAAAGUAUACUAGAUGGAACUCAAAGAAAACAUAAAAUAAUGGACACAUAGGACAAACUAUGAGUGUGAUGACCCGUCCAGUCGUAUCAUGAGUUACUGCUCUGUUUUCCCCAUUUCUACUUCUUAUUGCUUUGUCUAUCGAUUCUAUAUGUGAUCGGGUUGGUCGGCUUGGGUUCGAAAAGGAUUUGUUAAGGUUUGAGACACUUAGACUCUUUUGAGAAAGCUUAAAUUGGAAAAGUCAACCGGAUGUUAACUUAUGUGUUAGAGGGUUCGGAUGUGAGUUUUGAUGGUUCGGAUAGCUUCGGUAGGUGAUUUGGGACUUAGAAGUGUGAUCGGAAUGAGUUUUGGAGGUUCGGAGUAGAUUUAGGCUUGAAUUAGCGAAGUUGGUAUUUUGGCGAUUUCCAGAUGAUAGGUGAGAUUUUGAUAUAGGGGUUGGAAUGGAAUUUCGAGAGUUGCAGUAGUCCUAUUGGGUCAUUUGGGGUGUGUAUGCAAAAUUUCAAGUCAUUCGGACGAGGUUUGGUUGGGUUUUUGAUCAAAAGCAGAAUUCGGAAGAUUUUGGAAACUUAGGCUUGAAUUCGAUAUGUUUUGGUUGAUUCGAUGUUGUUUGAGGUGUUUUGAAUAUUGGUAUAAGUUUAAAUAAGGUUAUGGGAUAUGUUUGUGCUUUUGGUUGAGGUCCUGGGGGCCUCGGGGUGAUUUCGGAUGGUUGACGGAGAGUUUGGAAUUUUUGGUGAAGUUUCAAAUUUUCUGCUUCUGUUGUUUCCACACCUGCGGAUUAGGGACCGCAGGUGCGAUGCCGCAAAUGCAAAGAAGAGGACCGCAGAACCGAAAAAGCCCUAGAAAGGUUGGGGUCGUAGAAGCUACUGAGGAGCCGCACUUGCGAUAGCACAUGUAUGGGAAAAGGAUCGCAAAAGUGGAAAGUGGUCAUUUAAGUGAUGACCGCAGAAGCGGUCCAUUGACCGCAAAUGCGGUGCUGCAGAAGCAGGGAUUUGGCCACAGGUGCGGAAUCCCUGGGCCAGAAAGUAUAAAUUAUUUCCUUCGCGAUUUUGAGCUAUUCCACCAUUGCUAAGUCGGUUUUUGGAGCUUUUUGUGCGAUUUGAAGAAGGGUUUCAAGGGGACUUCAUUGAGGUAAGGAUUUUGGACCUAAAACUCGUUCCUAUGGUAUUAUUUCACGGAUUGGAGCUAUAAUUAAUGGAAUUUAAGGGCUAAAAUUUUGGGAAACUAGGGCUUGGUAUUGGAGACCUAGACUUGAGGAUUUGAGGGGUCAUUUGUGGUUAGAUUUUGGUACUUUUGAUAUGUGUGGACUCAUGGGGAGAUAAGGAAUCCAUUGAUGUGAAUUUUAUCGAAUUUCAAGACGUGGUCUCGGAGGUCGGGUUUUGGUAAUUUUGGGAUUUGUGUUGUAAAUUGAUUAUUUUCGCUUGGGCUUCGUUCCUUUAGCAUAUUUUGACGUCGUGAUUCUGAUUUUGGAUAGAUUCAACAUGAGUGGAGGCUGAUUCGAGGGGCAAAGGCGUCGGGGGAUAGAGUUUGGAUCGGAUUGAGGUGAGUAAUAAUUGUAAAUGAUGUCCUGAGGGUAUGAAACCCUGGAUUUUCACAUCGUUGUGCUAUAUUAUGGUGAUGCACACGCUAGAUGACGAGCGUGGGGUCGUGCACUGUUGGGGAUUGUGACUUAGUCCGUCCCGAACGACUAUUUUAUUGCAUAUUUGACUGAAAACUCUUUGCUAUCAUCAUGUUUUAGGCUAAAUGCCAUAUUUGGGCCUCGUGCCAACUAUUUGAACCCUUAGGGGAUUUUUACUGAUAUUUCCUCACUGUUUUGACUUUAUGCUUGAACUCAGUCAUGCUAUAUUCUACUGUUUUCAUAACUCAGCCAUGUUUACUCUGCUUUAACACAUAAAUGAUAUUUUUAAAUAAUAUUUUGGGCUGAGCACCAUGUUUUACUGAUGCCCCAGUAGCCUUUGAGAUUCUGACCAAGUAAGGCCGAAGGACUAUGUUGUGAGGAAACACCUGAUUAGGAUUAUGAGACCGAGGGCCUGAGAUUUGUAUGCCACGAGGUGGCUUGUUGAUAUGAGGCCGAGAGCCUAGUGAUGAUGUCACGAGAUGGCUUUAUAUUGCACUUGGUCCGUAAGGGGCCCCUCCAGGAGUCUACACACCCCCAGUGAGCGUGGGUACCCAUUGUGAUGUGAGAUAUAGCCCGAGGGGAUGGUAUUGUUUAUGAGAUAUUGCCCGAGGGGCGGAUUUGUGAUAUUGUUCCCGAGGGGCAAUCCUUAUGUGUUUAUCUUUCCUAUUUGUUUGUCACUUACUUACUUAAUUGUUAAUAAGGCAUUUUAUGAAGUUUAAACUGAACCUAGUGAUUUUACACAUCUUUACUGCUUCACUAUUUUUACUGGCUUUUAUUGCUUCAUUAUAGCCUCUAAUGUGCCUUACGUGAUUUUAUAUUUCUCAGUCUUUAUUUAUGAUUAUUACUCACUGAGUUGGAGUACUCACUUUACUCUCUGCACCCCGUGUGCAGAUUCAGGCUUUGUUGAUCCUGCUUGCGAGGGUUGAGAGCUCCCAACAGAUUUCGGAGUUCACAAGGUAGUUGUUCGGCGUCCGCAACCCCGUGUUUCUCCCCCUUUAUCUCAUUUCUUUCCCUUUCAGUGAUUAUGUAAUAGUUUUGUAGACACUUCAGACUUGUAUUACAUUGAUAGAUGAUCAUGAUUGGUGACACCCGGUAUCGGAUUGUAUUGGGUUUUAUUUUCGCAAGCCGUAAUGUUCACUGCUUACCAUUUUGGGAUUAUUGUUAUGAUGUUUAAGACUUAAUGCUUAUUAAUUAAAAUUGCUUAAAAUUUAUUUGGGAAUGUGUCAGCUGGCCUUGACUUCACGAAAAGCGUCAUCACGGUCAGAUUCGAGUUUAGGGUUCGUGACAAUAAACUUACAGGAAAAGAACAACAUUAACAAGACAAAAAAGAAAAUGAAAUCAAUGAAACUAGAAGAAUAAGCUAGUACCAUAAAGAGAGGAAUGAACCUUUUAGGGAAGAUUCAAUUAAUAGAAAGUCCAACAAUUGGACAGAAGAAUACCGCAGCUACAAACAGAACUUGAAACAGCAAUCAAUUCGAACGGAAAAUCAGAUGGCGAAUCGAAUCGGCUUCAAUCCUCUGCUCACCUCCAUUUUUAAAACCAGAAUUGAAAGAAGAAAUUGAAAAUAGUUUUUGUAUAUUUUUCUGGAAUACAAACCUAUCUAAUUCAAAACAGAAACAUCAUCUUUUGUAUGUCUUUUCUUGAAAUCUAAAAGAAGCUCGAAUUGGAUGAGAAAAUUGAAAGGCAAAGAAAAGAUAUCCCCAAACCCUAAUUCAUCGCUCCCCCUUUUUAGGUUGUGAAAGGUUCCCCAAAAUAGGAAAACGGCUGGAGCUUAAAAGGUCUC